UGUUUGUCUUAGAUAACGUUGAUUAUUAUGUCUAGUUUUUGUAAGGCCCGUUUCAUUUUGUCCCUUUUAUUUUAAGGGCUGCCCCAAUCUUAUGGGCCUAAAGACUAGCCCAAAGAGGAAGGGUCAGACCUAACCUACCAACCCUAACCUUGUGCUCAUUUUGGUAACACAGAACUUUCACAAUCCUUAUAGCGGCUGCUGUUUUUUCUCUACUAGGGUUUACUCCUAACCUUGAACCAAUGAGCUCAGUUACGUUUCCUAGCUUCAUCUCAGUAAUAUGCCUUUGGAGUUUCGCGUUCCGUUGUUGGAGACGCACCUCGCUCUUAGCCCUUUUUCAGAUGGGCGAGGUUCCCGCGGUCAGCAAGGAAAUGGCGAUUCUGCUGCUUAGUCACCUGGGCUGGACUUUAUGUUUAUUUUUCUUCAUGGGUUUUCUUUAGGGCUAUGACCCAUGUAUUGCUCUAUGCUUUACUAUUCUACUCUCAUUUUGUUAGACUUUUAUCUGGUUUUCGUUGGCAUCGUGGUGUGUCCAGUUUGUAGGG